AAAACCUUAAACAGACAGAUAAAAGUGGAUAGAGGUAAUAUAUUUUAAUGUAACUCUAAAAUCCAUGUACUAAUAGAAGUGAGACCUAAAAUUUCGAUGCUAAAGCUUGGGACCUUGUAAUAUUCAAGGCAGAUGAUGUGUACUAAACACCUUCCUGUGUUAACAGAUUGUAUACUCUACUUCCUAUGGUUUAUUAAUAUUUAUAAGGAUUCCUUUCAUCAUCCAUCCUUGAUUUUCCAUUCGCAUUUGAUUGUGCAGGUCUUUCAGCCAUGG
rnacentral:misc_RNA from 1 species